rnacentral:rRNA from 1 species
GAUGAACGCUGGCGGCGUGCUUAACACAUGCAAGUCGAACGAGAAGUGGAGACGGAAACCUUCGGGCGGAAGACUUUAUUUCGAGUGGCGGACGGGUGAGUAACGCGUGGGUAACCUGCCUCAUACAGGGGGAUAACAGUUGGAAACGACUGUUAAUACCGCAUAAGACCACAGCACCGCAUGGUGCGGGGGUAAAAACUCCGGUGGUAUGAGAUGGACCCGCGUUCGAUUAGCCAGUUGGCGGGGUAACGGCCCACCAAAGCGACGAUCGAUAGCCGAACUGAGAGGCUGACCGGACACAUUGGGACUGAGACACGGCCCAGACUCCUACGGGAGGCAGCAGUGGGGAAUAUUGCACAAUGGGGGAAACCCUGAUGCAGCGACGCCGCGUGAGUGAAGAAGUAUUUCGGUAUGUAAAGCUCUAUCAGCAGGGAAGAAAAUGACGGUACCUGAGUAAGAAGCCCCGGCUAACUACGUG